AUCAGAUUAGUUUAGUUGGUUAAAACUUGGUGCUAAUAAUGCCAAGGUCAUAGGUUCAAUCCCCUGUAUGGGACA
rnacentral:tRNA from 1 species